rnacentral:rRNA from 1 species
AUUGAACGCUGGCGGCAGGCCUAACACAUGCAAGUCGAACGAGUGGCGGACGGGUGAGUAAUGUCUGGGAAACUGCCUGAUGGAGGGGGAUAACUACUGGAAACGGUAGCUAAUACCGCAUACCAUCAGAUGUGCCCAGAUGGGAUUAGCUAGUUGGUGGGGUAACGGCUCACCACGGCGACGAUCCCUAGCUGGUCUGAGAGGAUGAACCGCAACACUGGAACUGAGACACGGUCCAGAGUCCUACGGGAGGAAGAAGGGGGGAAUAUUGCAAAAUGGGCGCAAGCUGGAUGCAGCAAGGCGGCGUGUAUGAAGAAGGCCUUCGGGUUGUAAAGUACGUUCAGCGGGGAGGCGUUACCCGCAGAAGAAGCACCGGCUAACUCCGUGCCAGCAGCCGCGGUAAUAC